rnacentral:tRNA from 1 species
GCGCUUGAAUGGCAUUCAAGAGGUCACCGGUUCGAUCCCGGUUAGCUCCA